AUUAGUAUGAAGCAGGCGGUGACGGCGCACUGAUUCACUCUCGGAGCUCGGUUCACUAAUGACCGAAUCACCGAGGAACCGACCAAAGAUAACUCACACCCGCACGGAGAAGAAGAACAAGAGGAGGAGAAGAUGAGCUGGAGUGGGGCAAAGAGAACUGCAUUCAGAUCAAACGGAUACAAGAGAGGUGGCCGAGUUGUUUGAGGAUCUAAAGAAUUGAGUGUCACAAUUCAACAUGCACAUCAGCGAAACUUUUCCCUCUGACUACACCAGCACGCACGCACAGAAAUUCAUAGUGCAGGUGGCGAUUGCAGGCACAUUUUAUCCGAACUGCUUCCUCCAGGGAACUCUAUGGAAACGACCCCAGGACCACCAUAGUGGUGUGUAAUCUCCCUCCAUUUGCAUUCCUCUACUAUAAACAGCUCCAGUCUCUCUUCAGACACUGUGGUUAAAUCAAAUCCAUCUCCUUUGACAGCUCCAGGGCCUAUGUAGAGUUCUACCGCUCGUCAAUGAGAGGUUCUGGCGUUCUCCCAGAGGUCUCUCUGUCUCUCCUCCUCACGCAGCAGAGACUUCCUCUCCAUCUCAACGUUUAACCCGCUGGAGAGGUGGAGACUUGGGCAGGGGGGUAGUGUAUCUCACACCUCAGAUAUACACGGGUGAAUGUGGAUUUUCAGAAUCAGUCAGUGAGCCCUGUCGGGGUUCUGAGCAGCUCCAUUGAGUUGGAGAAUCUUCCGUCUAACCCUGUCUUUAUCGUCAAUAUCACCAAGGUGUCUGUUCCGCCUCUUUCACUUUCAGUGCACAAAUAAAAAAGAAGCAGUGGCUCCUGUGUGUGUGUGUGUGUGUGUGUGUGUGUGUGUGUGUGUGUGUGUGUGUGUGCACUAACAGGAGGUCCAGGUGCAGCCUUUGGAUAUUGAUGAAGAUUUACUGCCCCUGCAAGACCUUCCUCAACUGCGUAGUCUGGAGCAAAGGAUGCAACAGAGCCCAGAUUACAAGCAAAAUCUGGUAAACUGGUUGGCGCUUAUUGACGGGGUGUAUGUGCGUGACUGCACCUGGCGCAUAUUGAAGAGGGUGAUUGCUAACUCCCUUGCAAAGAAUCUCAAUUGGAGGGGAGUCAAUGGAAAGACUUCACUGUCCGCUCUCCAACUCGGAGAGGUCGUGAUUGCUGCAGUUCAUAGAAACCUCCUCACGGCUAAAGCUGCAGAGAUGGAGGUCGAGGGGACCAUGAAGAGGCGGCUCCAGCUGGCAUCAGAGCGAGAGUGUGGGCGCAAGAGCAGACUUUUGAUAAAGGAGGGUAUUUACAGUGUUUUAACUGCUGUUUUUGCGCUAUUAUUAAUUUGUUAAAAUGUUCAUAUUAUAGUCUAUUUUUAAUUGUUUAUAAAAGUCCUUGCUGUUUUUAAGUGGCUGAAUUAGUGUGUGUGCGCGCAUGUGUGUGUGCGCGUGUGUGUUGGUAGCUGGGUGGGUAUAUAGUUCUGGUCGGAAGUUGACAUACCCCUUGCAGGAGAAAGAGACCCUGUGUAAUCUGUUUAAAUGACGUUUACGCAUGUUUUGCAGAGAGAUCAUUUUCACCUUGCUGUUCGGGUCUCUGUCCCACACUGUUACAGUGCAGUAUUGAGAGCGCGCGAGGGAGAUCGAUUUUCUAUCAGAAACAGUAACUAUAUAAAAUGGACGUCAACACGCACCACUCUGUGAGGUCAUUUCUCGCUCUCAACAGAGUAGUUGUGAUUGUUCAGUGUUUACCACGGGGCCAAAACAUUCAAGGCCAUGGUGUAUUUUGACUGUUCCUGUAGCAUAAUCUCACCAAACUGUGUGUACACGAGUCCACAGACACUGAGUCUAUUCACAGUUCCAUGCUGUGUAGAUGUUCUGCUCAUCCUCACUGUACCGUAAAGAUCAGAACCUCACAUCUGUAACCUUGUAGCUUUCCUUAAUCAACACGACUGCGACCAAGCUUGUGUAUCACUACUAUUUUUAGAUCUCCGCCUCUCAAAAGUAUUGGCGCCCUGCGCGGCCGCCUCUCAAAUCUUUUGGCGCCCUACGCGGCCAGCUCUCAAAUCUGUUGGCACCCUAUGCGUCCGGCUGUCAAAUAUAUCGGCGCCCUAUGCGUCCGGCUGUCAAAUAUAUCGGCGCCCUAUGCGUCCAGCUCUCAAAACUAUUGGCGCCCUUCACGGGCAGUUCUCAAAAGUAUUGGCACCCGAUCUGAAUUUUGCCACGGCAAGCACCACUCACAUUUUCUUCAGGAAAUGUACCUUAAAAUAAUAAAAAGUCUCUCGCUAGGCUGUGUGUCGAGAUAAACGUGAAAACAUCUUGAGCUUGUGUUCACCACAGACCUUAUUUCCGGCAUUUAACCCAAAACCCCAUUGACGGAAGUGCUAAUACGCUGACUCGUUUCUGGGUUUCACGACUCAUUCCUGCAGCACUCUGUAAGACGGGCUGUUGUUAUCAAACCAUCGAAGUAAGAUAAGCGGCUUUGGUAAUGAUUCUUUAAAUGAACCGAUUCAGAAUCCUCUUCUUGAAUCGUUUGAGUCGUUCUCACUCGGUCAGGGUUGCACGUGUGGGUUGCUUUUCCUGCACGUGUUCACAGACCGUAAAUCCCGACCCCAUGGUAGACACUCGACAGAAAUUUCAUACUAAAGUAAGUAUUUUAUAUUUUCUGGGUCUAAACAGAGCAGAAGUAUUGCUAACGUGUUGUACAGAUUCUAUUGGACUGGUGAACUGUGGAUUUGUAUAUUUAACCCAGUUUAAUAUGGCCUGCUUUGUUCAGUCAGAGACAAGUAAAUCUGUUCUAAUGUUCACUUAUUUUCCAUAGAUAAAACACGUUUGUUUACACAUGAAUACGUACUUUAUGCUUUCAGAAUGGUGGAGAUUUGGCCCUUAACUAUGGUUAAGUGGGGGGUACUAUAAAAUGCACAGUUCUGAGACACUAUAUACCUAUACUGUGAAAUCAGUACAUGUGUGUUUACAAUGAUUAUAGCUUUUGGGGAAAAAACUAUUCUUGAAUCUAUUAGUCCUUGUUCUGAUGCACCUGUAACGUCUCCCUGAGGGCAACAGAUCAGAGCCAGGGUGAGAGCUGUCCUCAAUGAUGGUUUUUCCUCUGCUGAGGCAACGGGGGGUGUAAAUAUCCAUCAGGGAGGUGUUGUGGAUAAAAAAUGUCAUAAAAUAAACAUAAGGGAGACCUAGCAUCCAGCAAAGGGGAGAAGAAGAAAAGAUGGGCACCUAGACACAUAGAAGCGGGAUUAGGCGGACAUUGACAAAUUGGAAUUACACUUUAAAGAUCUUUAAGAGCAGUAGUAGUCAAAAAAGUCAAAAAGAGGUAUACGAGCUGAGCUGAGGAGUGCUAAUACACACACACACACACACACGCUCGUACAGUCAAGGGCGGGCAAGUAGACACAACAUACACACACACACUCUCUCGCUCUCAUACACACACAUGAAUAACUUUAAUAAUCUUAUUGUAAUAGAGAAACUCUCUAUAAAAAAACAGAAUAGUAGGAUAUGCAGGACAGUAUGGAGGAUAUGCAGGAGCUUAAGCUCAUCACUUCUGAGAAUUCUCAUCGGUGUGGAUCUCGUGUGGUGGAACGGAACAAUAAAGCUGGACCCUUGCUUCUUCUCACUCACGGCUGGUGUAUUUUUUUUCUAUCUCCAACUGGGCUCAGAGGUAGAUGUGAGUGUUGGCUUCUAUGUUGAAUUUUAAGUGUUUUUGGGUAAUAGGCUAAAUUUGAGCCAACAGAGGGGAGAGGUAAUAAAUAAACUUAUAAAUGUGAUUACUUGAUGACCGUAGACAGAACUCUAUAAAUGUGAAAUGUUUUGUUGAAGUUCAGAUGAAUCUCUGAUGUACAGAAUCUUCAACAGAGUUCUGCAGAAAGAUUUUAAAUGCCUGUCAUUCACCAGAACAAAUUUGCAGUUGAACAGUCUGUCUAAAAGAAAAAAUCUAAACACACAAUAUAAAAUUCCUGCAGUGUGAAUAAAGCCUUUGUGUUGCUUUUAGCAAACAUGUCUAGUACUCUCUGUUCAAUGUACACAAUUUACCCCAUUUAAAUGCAUUUUGGAAAUUGUUCCACAUGGCCUUAAAGUGUGAAUAUUCACUGUAUGCCAAAUAAGUAAUCAAAGAAUGGAACUGAAUUUUUUCUUCUCUAAUGGACCAUUAAUCACAAUUAUAAAAGAUGAUGCAUCAGGUACAAAGUAUCAGGGUUUUUUCCCCCUCUUUUUCCCACAAUAGUUGCAUGAUUUUUGCUACACCCUUUCCACCGUGUGUGUGUGUGUGUGUGUGUGUGUGUGUGUGUGUGUGUGUGUGUGUGCGCGCUACCAAUCACUUUGAGGUAAAAAUAUUUUAACGCAGCCACUUUCACCUUCCUACAACAAUUGGUGACUGGGGAUCUCUGUAAUGUAACCGUUUCUGUAAUUAUCCUUACUUGCCUUUGUGCUUCUGUGUCUUCUGUUGGUGCUUUAUUCUGCUUUUUAGGGCCCGAGCACCGCUGCUGCAAAGCCCUAUUGGAUCUGCUGUUUAUUAUUGGGGCAGAGCACCGAAGGUGCAGCGCUUCCGGUGACCACCGGAGGGCGCAUGCACCGGAGGUGCAGGGCCCUAUUGAUUUUCUGGUGUUUAUUGUUUAUUUCAUGCAUUCUUGUCGUUUUUAAGGGCCUAAACAUGGCUGAAAACUCACAAAACUCGGUAGACGCGCCAGCACCAGUGAAAAUGUAACUUACAUUGGGCAUGGUCGAGGAGCUCCUUAGCACCCCUGAAUGCAGACAAAGUUAGAUUCAGCUUCGGACACAAGUUCCAGGUACUGAUCGAGAAGGAGUGGAUCAGCUUCGUACACAAGCUGGCCUCGCGUGUCGGCCUUGGAGAUGAGAAUCACGCCAACUCGGAACGAUCCCCUCUCUUUGUGCAGUUCAUCGACUGUGUGUGGCAGAUGAUGAGACAGGUGAAACCCAGGGCUCAAACCAAGAGAAGACAUUCAGAGCUAUUCAUUCUUUAAAGUCCAUUUAACAAGGUAUACCUGGCCAGCAAGAAAAAAACAUCAGUCACUCGUUCCAGUAUUUUUGAACAGUUAAUGAAUAGGAUGGCUUCAAAAAAGCUGCCAUAUUUUAAGCUGUGUAACACGUCUAGAUGUAAAUAUGAGGAAAUGAAAGCUGAAAUUCUGAUCUAUCGUCUCAUAUUCGUCUUUUAUCUCAAACCCAAAUGUCUUCAGUAUACAGCAAAAGCAAGUGAAUUGGCCUUGAUGUUCCAAUACUUUUGAAGAGGACUCUAAUUGUAAGAAUUAAAUAUAAUUUCCGUACUGAACAAAAGACUGAUUAUCUGUUCAGGCACUAUUGUGCAGAUCCACAUUUAAGCAUCUUACUAUACACUGAGUUCAAAGAGCUUUUUCUCAUCCCCAUCCUGGAUCGCCCCUACAGCUGCCUGUUUGGUACAUUCCUCUACAGCAGUGAGCAGGAGAGAAUGGAAAAGGAAGUACAGGGUAAAACGGUCACUGUGGUCCUACGUUAACAGUCAGCCGGAGGACUUCACUAACCCGUUCUAUGUGGACUGUAAAAACCAGGUGCUGUAUCCACUGGCCAGUCUCACACAUCUGGAGCUCUGGGUGGGUUAUUAUGUGCGCUGGAACCCACGCAUGAGACCACAGAUGCCGCUCCAUCAGAAUCUGAGAGAGUUAUUGUUUUUGCGUGAAGAACGUGGAGGAGCUCCAGAGAGAGGCCACGUCAUCCUGCUCCAUCUCCUCAUCCUCAGAGCAUACUUCUCCCUCCUCACAUAGUGGAUUGGCAUGCUGUGCAUCCUGAGAUGCUUUUCUGCUCACCAUGUAUGUAAAGAGAGGUUAUUUGAUGUUACCAUGGCCGUCCUAUUAACUUGACCCAGUCUGGCCAUUCUCCUUUCGCCAACAACGUGUUUCCACCCCGAGAACUGCCACUUACCGGAUGUUUUUCACACAAGUGUGUGUGUGUGUGUGUGUGUGUGGAAAUCCUAGGAGAGCCGCAGUUUCUGGAAUACUCAAACCAGACCAUUUAGAAUCUACAACCAUGCCGCGGAUAAAAUCACUGGAUUACAUUCUGGUGUUUGAUGUGAAUAUUGACUGAAGCUCUUCAUCUGAUCCUGCUUGAUGUUGUACAUUGUGGUGUUGCCAUAUGAUUGGCUGAUUGGAUAAUUGUAUGAAUGAGCACAUGUACAAGUGAUCAGUGAGCACAUCUAUCUACCAUAGAGGUAUUUUAGGGCAAUACUUGACAAUGUACCUGAUU